rnacentral:rRNA from 1 species
AGGAUUAACGCUGGCGGCGUGCCUAACACAUGCAAGUCGAACGAGGGGGGCAACCCCCGAGUGGCAGACGGGUGAGUAACGCGUGGUCAACCUACCCUAGAGUGGGGAAUAACUAGCCGAAAGGUUAGCUAAUACCGCAUGAUACGUUUUGGGACAUCCCAGGACGUUGAAAGGAGCAAUCCGCUCGAGGACGGGACCGCGUCCGAUUAGCUAGUUGGUGAGGUAACGGCCCACCAAGGCUCCGAUCGGUAGCUGGUUUGAGAGAGCGACCAGCCACACUGGGACUGAGAAACGGCCCAGACUCCUACGGGAGGCAGCAGUGAGGAAUUUUCCGCAAUGGGCGAAAGCCUGACGGAGCGACGCCGCGUGUGGGAAGAAGGCCUUCGGGUCGUAAACCACUGUCGAAGGGGACUAUACUGAAGGUACCCUUGGAGGAAGCCCCGGCUAACUACGUGCCAGCAGCCGC